rnacentral:lncRNA from 1 species
UAGGAUUCUAGAUAUGACAGUUCCUUUUCUUCUCUGCACUUGAAAGAACUGAAAAAAGCACUUGAAAAAUGCUGAAAGAACUUCCUUCAGGCCUUUCUGGUUUACGAUGAGAAAUCCACUGUUAUUUGGAUUAUUUUUCCCUUGCAUAAUAGAUUUCUCAACAAAGCAAGUGCUCACAUAAGCUGCUGAAGUCUUAAAUGGAGAGCAGAGAGAGCUGGAGUCCUGUGGGUACUUUAAGG